AUAAAACAAAAAUAUGGACAGAAAUAAAACUUAAACCAACUAACCGGAUCGAAACAACGGCGAACUCGAAUGAAAACUGAUCUGCCCAGGAAUUUUGAAACCAAAAAAAUAACUCGAAUGUGCCUGGAAUCUCAACAACGACCUUCGGUGAACUCGAAUCAACAAGUAACUACAGAUCUUGAACAAACUCAAGGUUGAAUAUGAUAUUUUAACGAUUUGAAUUCCAAAACGAACAUGACCAUGAAAGAACAACUCAACUUAACUUAAACUCGAACGAAAAUGGGAUGUGGGGCUGGGGGGAAAAGACGACGCGGAGGGAGGCUGCUUCAGGUCGUUUGGACGUAACACUUGUACGUCAUGCUGGUUUGGUUGACGGAAGUGAACAGUGGCAACUGGAAUAGGAGGAGGAGGACUGCUGGAAUGUUGGUCGACGGUAUGUGAGCAGUGUCGAUGGAGAUGGGCAGUUCGGCGAGUAUAAUGUUUGAAGACGAAGGAUGAGAUGAGGGUUGGUCGUUUGGACUCGACAAAGAAGAGGGUAGCUGAAGGCUGCUCGACUGGAGGAGAAGUUGACGUGAAGCAGCUGCUAUGGAGCUGCUCGCUGCUGCUCAUCUGGGUUCGAUGGCGGUUGGGGUCUGCUGGUGACUUGGGGUGGACGGAGGUGGUCGUUCGGGACAGCAGCAAGCUGGUCCGGCGUGACGGGGCGACGGCAAAAGAAAAUGGCAGUGGAGGGGGGCUGGUAUUAGGGUCUUAUCUUGGAGUUUUGGUGUGGUUUUCUUGAGGUUGAAGAAAGUAAACCAUGGAGUCUCUUCACGUUAGGUUUUCCUAAAU
rnacentral:lncRNA from 1 species